rnacentral:lncRNA from 1 species
CAAUGAAGUUCAUCAUAGCUCAAAAUUAUAUUAUAUCCAUAAACAUUUGUCUUGUGUUAUUUUCCACAACUUGCACAAAUAAGUUACAUGGCAUACGUACGGUUUGGCCAUCAAGAUAUAUGCAUAGCGCAUAGAUGCUUGAACUAGUUGCACAGCUCACAUCUCAUGGUUUGCUUGCACUCAUUACAAAAUGAUUCAUAACUUAAGUCUUAACAAAAGCAUUCAUCUCUAGUUAGGAUGUACAAAAUAAGCACUAGUCAUGCACACUUCCAGCCCCUGCUUCCUGCAUGGCCACCUCAAGCUAUUACCUCCCACCUGCAAAUAAAAGAUUACAUCCAUCAAUAAAAACUAGAAAUCCAAGUCUUACAAAAUUCUAAAUUCAUGAGCAGUAGUUGUAUAGAUUUGGAAUUGAAAAAGAAUAAACUGGAGCUCCAUCUCUUCUCUCUUUUUUGUAUGCAAAGCAGAGAAGUGAUGUACAUGUUUAAAAAAAUAAUAAUUAUAUACUUGAAGGCUGGACUGUUGGAGCACCUUUCCUAGUUAGUGUUAGAUAUUUAAAUAUUUUUUAAGCAAUCAUAUUUUUGACAUAAAUAAAUUCUGAUGAUACCCAGUGAUUUUGUGGCAAAGAAGAAACCGAUAUAUGAUGCUGAAAUUAAUAUAUAUGUGAACCCAGGUUUGAAGAAAGCAGUUCAUAGAGGCUCUGCGGCUGUGGUUUGUAAGUUAAUAUGGCUCUAGGAAUUGACUAGCUAACAAGCCAACUAAUAAUUAAUAUAAAUGGCACAAUCACAAGCACAUACACAAUCUAGAGACAGAGCAAGCUGCAUGCACUUGCACAAGAUGUAAAGAUCAAGACUACUACAAGAAUGAGCUUGGGAUAAAGUACUAAUUGCAUACCUGUAUCAUGGGAUGAUUUUGAUGUCUUGCAAAGC